UGCCACUCCUGUGCCCGCCAUCUCUCUCUCUCUCAAAAUAAAAUAAAACAUUAAAAAAAAAAAAAAAGAAAUGCAGAAUUCUGUAUUGUAGCCAAUACACUCGUUGCUGUGGUUGUUUUGAUCUACGUAGGAUUGGAAACUACUUAAUGGCAUUGGCUCUCCUUACUCUCUAAGCAAGCGUUGGCCUCCAGCAGAGUUCUUGGUUUCUUAUACACUCUUCUCACUGGUAUCUGUGAGUGGAACUCCGGAUUCUAAGACCACAUUUUCUCACCCUCUACCUCAAAUGGUAGCGAUUUAUUUUCUUUCAGAAUUGGAUUAUGGCGUGGGCGCCUUGGCCAUUUCUACCUUCUUGACUGUGGCUGGGUCAACCCAGCUGCUUGAAGCCGAUGCGCUCGCCUCCUUGGGCAUCGAGUGUACUGUGCUCUGUGAGAAGGGUCAAGUCCUUCUGCCUUAAGCCCACGUUGCUUGAUUCAGAUCCCCCCGAAAACACUGUUGGAACAGACGCUCACAACAGACACUUCCAUUGAAUUCACUCUGAAACUCGAUUUCCAUCCUCCUUCCGCACUCUAACUUACACGGAAAGUCCCCAGAGAAGGCAGCAGAAGAAAGGUCUAGUGAAGGUGGUUUCUUCCACUGUCCCACGCCCAGGAGAGCUGGAUCUGCUCGGACAACUCAGGCCGGGCAUGAGCGAGGGACAAGAAACAGGGGUCUUGUGAGACAGAACGCCCCAGCCGUCCGCAAGGACCAUUCUCACCGUCUACAUAUUGCUCUCCAGAAAUACUGGGUUAUACAGACUCUGAUCUCCCUCUGUCUCAGAUCUCAGGCUUCCCAGCACUGGUCAGACCUCACUGCCAUUUUCCUGAAGUUUAUAACAGUCCAUAGAGAUACGAUUAUCUCCCCAAACAGCUUUAAAACACUUGUAGACAGAAAAGAACAAGGCUUCGCUGACAGGAGCUACAAUGAAAGAAGAGGCCACAGGGUCAGCUCGACUACCUUGGGGGUGAAAGACUGCAAGAAACGUCGGUUUUAUUCCUCUUAUAUUUUACACACCAAGUGAGAGGCGCAAAGGUUUCAAUAUUUCCCGUUCACUCAGGGAAAUGGAUCCCACAGUGACCAGCUCACCUAUCCUCACCCAAGGAUGAUUCCUGCUUUCAAGAGCACAUCUCUUUACGUAAGCCUCUCACCUUCUUGUCCCAUGCUAUCCUGGACUCUCCCAGCUACUCAUGUUCUCUAGGAUUGCACCUCUCCUUCCGGUUUCAGUGUUAGAAAUGCUUGUGGGAUUUCCUUGCCUCCGUCAUGCGUACCCCGUGGUGUCUUGCUCCCCACCGGAUGAAGAGUGGGGCAGGUUUUGUAAAUCAUGAAAAUGACAAAAAUAUUUGAGGCAAGUAUGCCACCACUUGACCACAGGAUUAUAGCUGCCCAGCUGGAGGCAUAAGGAAAGAGCUAAGGAGGUCAUGCCAGGUAAAAGCCUUUGUAGUGCCUUUAAUCUCUUUAUAAUAAUUUUGUUUUUCCAGAACAGGUAGAUGAUGAAGCAGAUUUGGGAGAGUUCCCAGUUACCAAGAAGUAAUAAAAAUUACUUCUUGCAUAUUUUGUCUAUAAUGUUUGAACACCUUUAAUUCUGUAAUACCUGGAGUUCAUGAUUUUCAUUAUAAUCUCUAAGCAUGCGAAAUUCCUCCACAUGAAGUUGCAAAUCUCCAAACGUGACAGAUUCGCUAUUCCAACCUAUACGUGAUCACUUCAUUUAUUUAUUUGUAAAGUUUAUUUAUUUAUUUUGAGAGAGAGAGAGAGAGAGAGAGAGAGAGAGCAGGAACCCCAAGCAGACUAUCCACUGUCAGCUCAGAGCCCUAUACGGGGCUUGAACUCACGAGCCGUGAGAUCGUGACCUGGGCCGAAACCAAGAGUCGAUGCUUAACCAACUGAGCCACCCAGGCUCCCCUAUAAAUGAUCACUUUAAACAUAUUUAUCUGAGAAAGAGAAACCUAAAAUAUAUAGUAACAAUACUUAGAAUUUCAAUAUUCUAGAAAAUCUCUCAUCUUUUUAAGGAUGUUAGAGAUAAAGGGCCAAGAUGGCAUUUUAAGCCAUAAUGUAAAAUAAACUACAAACCCCCUCUAUGAUUGUCAAUGUCUUACCCUGCUGGUUUUAAUAAUGCGAAGCAGAUUUCAUGAUAAUAAAGUCCAUAUGAAGAGCAUUUUAAAAAAUGAAAAAAAGUCAAGACAAAUCAAUUCAGCCUAUUCACCCUUUAAUGUAUCCUACAGUACUUAGGCUGCUUAAAAAAUGGAACAGUAGGGUAGACGUUCUUAUAAAAUGGAAAAUAAUUCCCAUCCACUACCAGCUGUUCCUUAGCAAAUAAUUUAGAAUUUUAGAAUUUCAAUAUCAGUAAAUCAAAGUGAUAAGAAUUGGAGUGGGCAUCAUGAGGCUACGUAAAAAUUAUUCUUAUUUUUUGAGGUUUCAGUUCAUGUGGGGAGAGCUGAGAUUCACACAUGAAAGCUUCACAUACAAAAGCAAUGGGGCAGGCUGCUUUAUCCCUGGUUGUGUUCAAGGAAACAAUCAAGCAGGCUCUGGGCAAAGUACUUGAUUUAGCAUAAAUAGACACUAAUAGGAUCGAAAACUUGCCACUGACCAGCCCAAGGUAUGAAACUGCAUUUCUUCCUUUGUAUAGCUUGUUGUGGUUCUGACCUUCUUCCUCAAGGCUGGAAACCAGAACAUUUCUUUGUUUUUGUUUUUUUUAAUGUCUAUUCAUUUUUGAGAGAGACAGAGUACUAGUGAGGGAGGGGCAGAGAGAGAGACAGGGAGACAGAAUCUGAAACAGGCUCCAGGCUCCGAGCUGUCAGCCCAGAGCCCGACACGGGGCUCGAACCCACAAACCGUGAGGUCAUGACCUGAACUCACGUCAGAUGCUCAACCGACUGAGCCACCUGGGCGCCCCGAACCAGAACGUUUCUAUUCAAGCAUGACAUAUAUCCCCCAUGUAAGGAGGGAGGCUUCCCUGUCCCUUGGUAUAACUUUAAAAUUUCUGUAAUUUUGCUUUUUUCAAUGUUUAUUUAUUUUUGAGAGAAAGAGAGUGAGUGGAGGAGGGGCAGAGAAAGAGGGGGGACUGAGGAUCCAAAGCAGGCUCCACACUGACAACAAGAGCCAGAUGCGGGGCUCAAACUCACAAACCACAAGAUCACGACCUGAACCGAGGUCAGAUGCUUAACUGACUGAGCCACCCAGGUGCCCCUCUAUGCCUUUCUUUAUACUUUAUUAGUUAUUUCAUGAUUUGAGUAACUUUGGUGAAUGCCAUUUUUCUUCCAUGAUAUUUUCUAAUUGGCUUAUUCCUGGGAAAUGAUGGAUUUUUAUACAUUUGUGUUGUCCCAUGUAUCUGGUCUGCCUUUCAUUUUGGCCCGAGUCCAUCAGUUUGACGAGAAAGGUGGGUUUAAGCUGACUUGUAAACCGAUUGGUAAGUGCGUAUUUCUCCCCUCGUUGUCAUCUCUGACCUAGGGCUGCAGAGAAAGUUUCUCCACAAGGCACCUGAGAGAACAUCACGUGAACAUGAAUGAACGAGUUUUGUGUUUCCUGUUCUUCCUUUCUCCCUCCUCGUUUGCCAGGCCAGAAUGUGUAUAUGUGGCAUUCCUGGCCAUGCUGUUCUGUGCUCGUGAGUCAGGGAAGUUGUGUACCGGGGCCCGGUAACCGUCUUGAUUUGGUCCAAAUGUUUUUAUAUUUUCCUAACUGUGUUGUGAAUAUGAAUCCUUCUCAGUUUUCUUAUAAUGACAGAGAUUGAUUGUGGUAGGCAGGUAAUGGUACCCAAAGAUGGCCUGUUCUCUGACCCCUGGAACCUGGGGGUGUGUUGCCAAAAGGCAAAGGGGACUUUGCAGAUGUGAUUAAACGUAUGGAACUCGAAAUAGGGAGAUUAUCCUGGACACUCAGGGUGGACCCAUCGAGUCACACAAAUCCUUAAAAGGGCAGGACCUUUCUGGUGGUGGUCCGGGAGAGAUGUGACAGACAAUUCGAAGCAAGGUCACAGAGAUGCAUUGUUGCUGGCUUUGAACAUGGAGGAAGGGGGCAGGAACCAAGGAAGCAGGGUGUCUUUAGAAGCUGGGAAGGAGCACCCAAGAGAAAUACAGCCCUGCUGACCAUUGAUUUUGGCCCCGUGAGACUCGAAUCACACUUCUGACCUCUGGGAAUGUAAGAUUAUACAUUUGUACUAUGUCAAGCCCUCAAGUUUGUGGCAGUUUGUAAUGGCCGGAAUAGAAAAUACAUUGAUGUACUAGCCAGCUCAGGCCGCCCUACAGAUCAGACAGCUUAAAUAGCAGAAAUGUAUGUUCUCAUAGUUCUGGAGACCGGGAGUCCAGGGUCAAGGUCCGGGCGGGUAGGGUCUGGUGAGAUCCUGCUUCCUGGCUUGCAGCCUUCGCACUGUGUCUGCACAUGGCAGAGAGAGACAGAGAGAGAGAGAGAGAGAGAGAGAGAGACAGAGAGAGUUCUCUGGUGGUCUUCUCAGCAGGAUAGGAUCCUGCUGACCUCCACCCUUAUGACCUCAUUAGCCUUAAUUACCUUCUAAAGGCCCCACCUUCAAGUACAGCCACAUUGGGGAUUAGGACUUCAACAGGAGAGUUUUGGAGGAACACAAUUCUGUCCAUAGCAAUUGAUUUUACAAGUUUUAUACCUCUUUAUUUCAGGGAUGUGCUUAACGGGAGGAUAAGAGUAUUAGUACUUAUAAUAUCUCCCUUUAAAAUGUCCCUCCUUUAGGGACCCCUGGGUGGCUCAGUCAGUUAAGUGUCUAACUCUUGAUUUCAGCUCAGGUCAUGACAUCAUGGUGCGUGAGAUCGAGCCCCACACCAGGCUCUGUGCUGACAGUGUGAAGCCUGCUCAGGAUUCCCUCUCCCUCUCUCUCUGCUGUCAACAUAAACAAACAUUUAAAAAAUAAAAUAAAAUGUGCUUCCUUAAAAAAUGUUUACAGUUUACAUGUUUUAUACUUUUUAUUUUAAAAUAAUUUUGGACUUACAGCAAAUUUCUAGAAACAGUCCAAAGAGUUUCCUAAUGCUCUUUACCCGGCUUCUCUAGCAUCCUCUGUGUUAACACUUUACACAACCACAGGACAAUGACCGGACUCAGGAAACAAAUGAGGAUACAAUACCAUUAGCGAAAUUACAGGCCAUGUUAGAAUUGCACCAAUUUUUCAAGUAAUGCCUGUUUUCUGCUCCAGGGUCAAUCCAGGGCUCCGUGUUGCAUUUAGUGUCCCCAUUCAUUGGUCUUCUUAACCUGUUGCCAUGUCUCAGUUUCCUUGUCCCUGGCACUUUGGAGGAGUACCGGCGUGUUAUUUUGUUGAAUUUGGGUUUGUGGUUCCUUUUGUUUUUAAGGGAAGUCUCUCCCGCUGUUUAUGCUACUUUCUGAUUUGACUUUCAGUUAUAAGCAUGUCCAAUUAUAAGCCACUGAAAGCCUGAUGUUCCUUCUGCUUCAAGGGGGCAUUUUGUACUUCUAAAGACUUCUGGACUGAGUGACACCAAGAUCCAUAGACUUUUGCUUUUUACAGGUAGGAUUCUCAUGUGGGGGUCCCUGGCAAUUCUACUGCUCUUUCCAAAUGUCUCUAAGCAAAUCAGAAACAGCUGGAAAUAACCGCAUGCCAAAGAGUGAGAAAAUUUGCCCCAGUGAGUCAACCAAACCUGGGUCUGAUUAGUGCGUGCAUGCCUCCUGGAGACAGUGAGCUGGGAGUGGGGGCACAAUAAUAAUAGCUAAUAAUAGCAAGCAUUAUUUAGUAAUUACUGUGUGCCACGGGUUGUGCUAAAUGCCUCACAUAAAUGAUAUAAUUAUUCCUCGCAACCCACCCCUUGAGGUAGAAAGGAAAUUGAAGACCUGAGCAGUUAAAUAGUUUGGUUAUGAUCAUGUAGCGUGGAGGUUACUGCGGGCUGAAACAGAGAGAGUUCGGUGAUUAACAAACAGGAGCAAAAAGUCCAAUCUAAGCCAGGUUAUCAGAUAGGAUAGACUGGAGGGUGGACUUAGGUGGCAGAUAUAUGGUGCGAGGGACUGAAAAAAAGUCUGGAGGAAGUCAGAUUCUCUUGGAGUGGCAAGAUUCCCUGGCUGUGAUCAGAUUAAUAAAUUUCCCACUUACGAUAUCCCUGUAUUAUUCUUCUACCAGGGAAAUAACCGCCUUUACUUAAUUCUCUACCAGACAGCUCAUUCUAGUGUUGGACAACCAUGACUGUGGAAGUCUGCUCCUUCCUGGGCUGAAACCUGCUUGGUCCUAGUUAAGCCAUCUGAAGUUAACAAGAUCAGUAUCAUGUCACUUUCACUUGGCAAUCCUUUGGAUACUUGAAGAUCAAAAUAAUGUUCUGCUUCCCUCUUUUUGUUUCUAGUUGCAUGUGCUUCACCUAAUAUGAUUAACAGACCUCUCACCACACAGGUCUCUCUUAUUUGUUUAGAGGUAGGCAAAUACUAGAAGCCUAUUCAAAUUUGAAUUUGACAUGAAAAGCAAAUGAAAGCCAUUGUAUAAUUAAGGUGACUUGGAUGUCAGGAACAGGAAACUAUAGGGCCGGCACUGAGUGGCCAGUCGAGGGCGAGAACCUAAACCACAGGAAAAUCUUGUGUCUACAGGAACAGUCUGGAAAAGCUCAGGGUAAUAUCAUUUCAAUAAUUAUGCCUUUUAAGAUUUCUCUUAGAAGAACACGUAACUUAGACUUCCUGAGGACAUAAUCUGGAGCACAUCUGAACAUUUAUAACCCGGGUUCUGCCUGGCACUUAAAAUGUUUUCCUAUUUAGGAGAUGUGAUUGGCAAAUGAGACUUUUAUCUUUUGAUGCUAUCAACUGAGAUCUGUAGCAAGAGUUGGAUGAUGGAUUUCUCUUGGAACACAUGAUCCUUCUGUAAUUUCACCGCUCUCUCCUUCCCCUCUUCCUUUACUUGUAACUAAGCCCUGAAAUAGAACUUAAUCUGUCAGAUGUACUCUCCAUUUGCUCUUUUUUACACAGCAAACACUAUUAUUGCCGUUGCCGAGUUAUAAAUUUUUCUUGAAAUUAAACAUAGUAGUUGAAAGAAGAAAAUAGCUUUUGCAAAUGUAUUUUAAAAUCUUUGGUGCUCACUACACUAUUUUAUUUUAUUUUUUUCAAUGUUUCUUCAUUGUUGAGGAUGGGGAGGGGCAGAGAGAGAGGGGGACAGAGGACCCGAAGCAGACUCUGCACUGACAUCAGAGAGCCGACGCGGGGCUCGAACUCAACGAGCCUCGAGAUCAUGGCCUGAGUCGAAGUCAGCCGCUUAACAGACUGAGCCAGCCAGGUGCCCCUCACUCUACUAUCUUAAAACAGUAUCUUUUAGUAGGAAAAACAAAACAUGGCCAACUAAUGUCUUUUUUUCCCCUUGCCUAAUGCUAACGAAAUAAUCAGUAAACCUCAAUACUGAAUACUAUUGAGGUGCUGAGUCAACUGGAAAUCAAACUGAGUCAUGCAUGAUUCUCUUCUCACCUUGAAUUCUCUUUACAGUUAUUCUGCAGUGUCCUGAAAUGCUAGUCGUGGUAUUAAUGGGUGACUAUCCCAUUUCUCAAGGGCAUUAUUCGGAAGUUAAAAAAAAAUUUUCUACUGUUUACAAAACAAUGAGUUAUACCCAUCUUUAGAAAGGUGAGGCAAGUGAUUGGAGAUGUUUUGAAGAUUUUAGGAGUCAGUGUAAAAAGAGUCAGAGCAGUUAGAUCUUCCAGUCUCCUUAAAAUGCGUUUGCUAUUGAACAGAAAUAGGAAUUGAUUUGAUAAUUUCAAGUCUAAUAAUGAACACUUCACUCCAUUUAUGUUUGAAAAUGUAGAGAUAUCUGUGUUUUCUAAUGGAAUUUUCUCUUUACUUACUGGCAGAAAUUCUCAACUUGUUCCCUGUGAAAUGUGUAGAUGUCAAAAUUUUUUAUCAGUCUACAGUUAAAAUGAAGAGCUCAUCUUCAUUUUAGGGUAAUAAUAUGGUGCAGAAAAAAUGAGCAUUGGCUGCUAUAUGAAGCCUUUGAAAGGUUUAUGAAAAACAAGACACGCUCGAGACUUCAUUUUUCUGGUGUAUUUGUGGCAAGAUCAGGUGUCAUGGCAUUUAAAUGAAAAAUUUGCUCUAUGUAAUUACUCAUUGAUCAAAGAAACAACUUAGGUUUGGGGGUGAAAGUAGUGAAUUCAGUUAAAAUGUUCUGCUAAAAUACUUCUGAAAUUAUUUUUUAAGGUCUUCGUUAAGGCAUAGGACCAUCAUUCUUGAAUACUAUGACUUCUCAGUGUGUCGUUUGAGUAAUUCAGUUCUAUGAGUUUGAAAAAAGUCAGGAAAUAUUCCUGAAGUGAAUUUUCUCCCAAGCGUCUCUCUAUGUCACCAGUGGGCUGCUUCAAACAGUAAGAGCAGGGGUGCCUGGGUGGCUCAGUCGGUAAGUGUCCGACGUCGGCUUAGGUCACGAUCUCGCGGUUCAUGAGUUCGAGCCCGAGUCAGGCUCUGUGCUGACAGCUCAGAGCCUAGAGCCUGCUUCGGAUUCUGUGUCUCCUUCUCUCUCUGCCCCUCCCCUGCUCAUGUUCUGUCUCUCUCUCUCUCUGUCUCGAAAAUAAACGAACAUUAAAAAAUAAAAUAAACAGUAAGAGCAUAAUGUGUUCCACAGCUUUGGGCCAGCCCUGCCUGGGGCCAUGCAGCCACGUCAGCGUCUACAUGGGCAUCAUAUGCAUCCGUGUGAUGCCCAGUAGCUGAUUGGGGUGUGGGAGGAAACUGUUGGAAUAUCUAAUUUUAGUUUUUACUUGCAAAAAAAUGAAAGAAAUCGAGCAUAUUAAAUAUUAAACACACAGGUUGAACUGAUUGCUUCCCUUGCUAACACGGUGCUUCUUACGUUUAGCCCCAAAUGUGUUGCGAAGGCAGGGUGGGCUCUUUCCCAUUUACUCUUCCAGCAGAAUCUGUAGGGCAGAUGCGAAUAGCCUGCUUGUUUCUGACCUGAAAUCAAUUCUGCUUCCUGCUCGACAGGAAUUUGGGGCCAUGGAGAUGGGCUGUCCAGUAAGUGAGCAUUAUUUACUUUUCAAACGACACCCCAGGACUUGAUACAUGAAAUACUAAGCAUGACUUUGUGUGAGCAAAAGCCGACUUUUGGUAUUUAAAAUCUCUCCAUAAAACUUGACUGUUUUUCCUAUUUUUUAGAUAAAAAUGUUACCAAUGUCAAGGAAAUACAUUUCCACUUUACAAGUGAAUGAAUUCUAUUCUGUAGUUAUCCAACUGGCCAUUUUUUGGUGUUGUUUUUAACUUGGUCUUUGACCAGUUAAGUUUUCUCUGCCUUUUCUAGUCACUGUCCCUCUUUUCUCUCUUUUGACUCUGCUUUUCUCUCUUUUGAUUCUUCGUAUCGGGUGAGUCGAAGUGCCGUAUUGGACCGAGUGUUAGACACUCCGUCGAUGUGUAUUUUACGUGCAAUGCACAUGUGCUGUUUUGGCUUGGGCGGCCCUUUUGCCCCCUUUCUUCUGGGAACUGAGCUCCUCUUUAACAUCUCGCCUCCCUUUUGUUACUGAUAGGGCAGUUCAUCACACAUCCCCCAAACUUCCAUCAAAGACAUGGUGACCUGAGCUAGGCUGCAGACUCAGACCGGGACAUCAUGGGACAUAACAAGAGAGAGGAGCCCUCUAUUUGCUGACAUCUCAGACUGUGAGGACCAGGGAAACUUGGGGCCUUCAGCCCACGUGAGGAGGGCUUGCCAGCACCGAAGCCAAUACAAGGAUUGCCCAGAUAAGGAGAGCGAGAGAGAGAGAGAUGGGCCUCCAUGUUUGAGCCUCUGAUGGGUCUCCACCUAACGCCAGCCACCCAUGCUGCGGGAUUCUCAGUCCCUCCCGUAAUUAGAUUUCCUAGUUGUGCUUUGGCUAGUUUGUGACCUUGUGUGGCUACACUGUUUCUGAAUAAGAUGACACUGUGUAGAGAAAACCAUAUGCACUUUUCAAUUCUACUACAAAAAUGACAAAUUCAUAAGGUUCCACCCAGCGUAAUAGGAUCCAGCUGGUCAGGAGACUCUAAACUCCCAUCUCCACCCAUCACUUUGUGUUCUUGACCUCUCUGAGCCUCAGUGUCCUUUGUAUUGAAAAGAGAGGGAGAAACCAUCUGCCUGACCUUCACACAGAGAGCGGGAAGCCAAUAAAGCCUAUGAAAACCCUUUGUAAGCUGUCGGCCUCUAUAAAAAGGUAACCUGCUGUUCCCGAUGGGAAGGUCUGAUUCCCUGGGCUAUGUUACAGUUUAUUAGGAUGAUCUUUCCCGUGGUACUUAGGUAGACCUCCGGAAUUGCUGGUACCUGUGAGGCUGUGACGAUAUCAAAGUUUCCCCGGGAAUGUGACGAAGGCCUGACUCACGGCAGAGAAUCUUCUUUUCCUUCAGUUGCGUCUCAGAGGGCUCACGAGUACCUGACUUUCGGUGCCGUUGCAGGCAGCGAAGAUGCUGGCUGGGCAUUAUUCCUGCCUCCUGAAGACAAGUCACACAAGAACGUCUUCCACACCGGAGUGAAGCAUUGCUAAAGCAUGAGGAAAACGGAGCUCUGCAUCUCCCGCGACUAAAGCUAGGACCUCCUUUGUCUUUUCCACAGGUUGAUAUGGUCAUUAAAGUCAUUAUCAAAAUCUUCUGUAGUGAGAUCUAGAGUCCGCGUGAACUAUUAAAUGCUACACGAUGCCAUAAGCACUCCCGGUGAGCCGUCCUGGUAGAGAAGUCGCGAGAGAAAGCUUACUUUAUCCCCGUCCACCUAAACGAUGACAUCUCAUCAUAAACGUCUAAGAAGUGUUCAUCACACCGUAGGAGCUGAGAAAUGGGAUGGCAAGGAUAUUAAAGGAAUAGCGGCUUUAAAAGGAGACACUUGGCAUUUCUUAGAUCUCAGCGUCAUACAUUUUCUUCUGUUGUCACAACAGUAAGAAAAGGAUUUCAACCAUAUAGAAAUAACAGACACUGCUUAUGGUACCUAAAAUGUCUCCGUAAAAGUGACUUCGCAUCUCAGAAGCCCGACCUCGAGGAUUUAUGCUGAAUCUGACCUUGCAAUGACAGCAAACUCUAUCUCUUAAUUUUUUUUUUUUUUAACGCUUAUUCAUUUUUGAGAGACGGAGAGAGACAGAGCAUGAGUAGGGGUGGGGCAGAGAGAGAAGGAGACACAGAAUCUGAAGCAGGCUCCAGGCUCCGAACUGUCAGCACAGAGCCCGAACAGGGCUCCAACCCACGAACUGUGAGACAUGACCUGAGCUGAAGUCAACUGCUUAACACACUGAGCCACCCAGGCACCCCGCAAUGACAGCAAACUCUUUAAGGACUAUUUUAGUUACAAGAACUAUAUUCACUCCAAUAUUUGUAUGAUGUUUGGUAGUUUUUAUUAGCAGAUACAAAAUCUUAUUUUCUAUUUCCUGGCUGCAUCAAAAUGAAUAAAAUAUUCUUAGGUUACAUCCAUGAAUGAUUGUUUCAUAUAAUCAUACUUUCUUUUAGACGCUUUUCCUAUAUUUUUCCACAGAAUGGUAAAAAUGCACACUUAAUCCAGGCAGCUGCAAGUUAGCAUGGAAAAAAUGUUCUAUGCAUUUGCUACGUAGAUGUUCAUCUCCCCUUCCACACCCAGUCAGGAUAGAAAAAAGAAAUUACAAUAAAUCUGCCCAUUUCUAAUAACUUCCUCCUACAAUUGCUCUGCUGGAUUACAUUGUUUCUUUCCACUGACGAGAAAAACCAGCUGAAUAAGUCAAGGUGGGUCUCUGAAGGUGGGUGUGCAAUCCCCAGAGGGGAGUGUGUGUUAGACUUUGUACACAGAGUCCAGACUGGUGGGAAAUUGGAAAUUAGAUUUAUGAGAAACUGAUGUUGAUUCUUAACUGUUCUCAAUUUACAGUCCAUUGUUUUCAGGGAGUAUCUGUUUCUUGCAGGCGGAGGAGAGAAUCCAAACUGAGGUUCUGUAGAGAGGUGGGAAGCCCUAGGCUGGCAUGAUUUCAAGAUGCGCGCUCCAGUGUGGGAUCCGUAAGCACAGGGUUGAGACUGGACUCUUUCCACCGUGGCACAGAGGGACGUUGUCAGACCUUUCGGAAGCCAAGGGGGUAGCGACUGGGCAAAUGUUUCAGGACGCCGGAGCUACAAGGAAAAACUAACAGCUGGGUCUGAGUAAAACGGUCCUCCCCCAGCCUUCUGGUGGUUUCUAGGUACCAGAGGGAAGGCCCAUAACAGAGUUAUUGUGUUUCUCUAACCCAGGGAAGGAAAUCCAACACUCUCUGGCAUUCACCCUCUGAACAGGCUUCAUUUUAUUCCCAGGGAAACACACUGAAAUUUCAGCAUAGGCAAGAUGACUGUUUCUGAUGCAGAAGCAUCGAGAGUAUCCCUAAGAGAGCGUAACUCUUCAUCAGGGUUGUUUAUCCACACCGGGAGCCGCCGAGGGCCAUGCUGCUCUCUUGGUGCCAUUUGGUCUGCUCUGACGCCUUUCUGGACAGGAAGUCCUUAAGAUUAAAGAUUGUAUUUUUAUGGGCUCAUGCCUGCCUUCCCCAGGCUGUGAACUGAAAAGAAAGAACCGGAAGCCAGAUUCUAGAAAGCCUAUUUACAAUCACUUGCGUGCGGGUCAGGAUGAAAAAUAGGAGGAAAUCAAGGUGGGGUAACAGAAGGAAGAAGCGCUAAGAAGAAACCAGCAAAGCGGCUGGAAAACUGGAAAUAAAAGUAUUUCUGUGUUGACGGAGAAUUUUCCCCCUUGAGGUCUGUAUUCCAUUUAUAAUUAAAACGAACUUGAUAAAGAACGUAGGAUAGAUCUCGAGACACCGCCAGGCUUCGUAAGAGAUCGCAUCUCACUCUCUGUCACAAAGGACCUUUUAUUUGGCCCCAAAACAAUAUCUCGGCAAGUGGAAGCAAGUAACUGUUUGAAGAAAAUAAAACUUCACGUGAGCAGAGCAGUGAGGGGGCCAUUUAUUCUCGUUCAAUUGCCUUUACGUUAGGGCUCAUGCUACAGGUGUUUAAAUGGAACACAUUUUGAAAACCUAGUGUCUUCAGACAAAUCCAGUAGGAGACUUACGGUCCUGCACCUCAUGGGUGUGACACUUGGGUUUGUAUUUUCACACAUCCGGUCAUGGUAAGCACGUCGUGGCAUUGUAAUAGCAUAUGGGGUACCGCGUGCGAUUCAAUCAUGCUUAAAAAAAUGCUUUAGCUUCUCAGCAGAAAUAGUUGUUACUACAAUAGGCAAUUCGUAUUUAUUGCCCAGGCACGUCGUUUUUGUAAUUUUGUUUUUAAAUUUUUUGUAACAUUUUAUUUUAUUUUUUGAGAGACAGAGAGACAGAGCAUGAGCAGGGAAGGGUCAGAGAGAGAGAGGGAGACACAGAACCCAAAGCAGGCUCUAGGCUCUGAGCUGUCAGCACAGAGCCCCAUGCGGGGCUUGAAACCGGGAGCUGUGAGAUCAUGACCUGAGCCAAAGUCAGAUGCUUGACCAACUGAGCCACACAGGCGCCCCUGGUUGCAGCGAGCGGAUUUAAGUGGGAAAUUGCUGUGGUGCUGACGCUUUGGGCUCCACAGCGUGGCUGUAGGUGUCGGCGCGGGAGGCAGUUAGGCAUCGAGGGCAAUGCGUUCGCCGGCCUUCCCUUGGAGUAAAGUCCUUCGCACUGUCCGCCUGGUAUUUCUGCCUGAAGCUCUUCUGUUGUAGACCCCUCUCCCAAUACUCUCCUAUUAGCAGGCAUCAGACCACUCAAGUCAUUUGGGACUGUGCACUAUGGUAAAAAAAAAAAAAAAAAAAAAAGUCUAAAUAGUUGUCUUAGAGGUUCCCGUUGGAUCAUGUGUGUUUCUCAGACACAGGAGAUUAUUUUUAUCCAUUUCAGGUGCACGGCUUCAAUUCUGUAAUACGAAAAUAGAUCGUCCUUGUGCAGAUUUCCUCGGACACCCUGAAGGCAGCUUCCUUCCAGCUUGUAAAAGCCAAUUUCGCACUUAUCUGACAGGACUAAAUAUGCCUGCUUUCCUGUUAUUUUCCUCCUUUUUGUCUUUAUAUAGAUAAUAUUUUGUAAACAAAAGGUGGACGUUUUCUGCCAGGGACUGAGAAAUCCAGUUGGUUGGAACCAGGAGAUGUGGCCGUGGGAUGGCGGGUGUGCACAGCACUGGCUCCCUGACCCUGUGCUCUGCAGGUUGGUGCUCUCUGGGCCCAGGUGGACCCACUGCUGGACGAGCCUUUGUCUUGAUACAUCCAAGGAAAGGAAGGUCCUCGCCGUUCACGCACGUAUCUGCAGAAAUGUGAAUGGGGUCCACGGCGAGUUACAAAUCCCGGAGCUUUUUGGAGCCUCAUCCAUGAAUGUUCUUCCUAUCAUCCUCUGUGUCAGCUGAUGGGGAAGAACAUGGAUGCGGGAAUUGAAGGAAUAGUUCCCCUUACGGAUAUUUUCUAUUCUUUCUUAUGCCCCCUUGUGUAUACUUUCUCUUCCUUUCAAUUUUUUUUUAAUGUUUAUUUUUGAGAGAGAAAGAUAAAGUGUAAACGGGCGCUGAGAGAGAUUGGGAGAGACAGAAUCCGAAGCAGGUUCCAGGCUCCGAGCUGUCAGCACAGAGCCUUUCGCGGGGCUCGAACUCACGAACUGCGAGAUCAUGACCCGAACCGAAGUCGGAUGCUUGACUGACUGGGCCACCCAGGCGCCCAUCCUUGUGUAUGCUUUCUAUUCUUCCUUAAUCUCCUCAUGUAUGCUUUCUGUUUUCCCUCUCAUCUCCUUAUGUAUACUUUCUAUUUUACAUGGCAGUUUUUUUUUUCCUUUGAGAAAGAGAAAACAAGUGAUCACUUGUUACCUUUAGUGCCUUCCCCAUGAUUCUUCUGCAAAGCCAAGCUCAUUAGCAGACUGGUGACAGGCACAGGAAGCAAGCAAAGCGCCUGGCAGGCUAGGCCCUGAUGACCACUCCUACCGUGAAAUCUGUCACCGCGUUAACUGUGUUCUCACAGGUAUCGAUAUGUGUAUGUAUGUGGUGUGCCAGGAAACUGUGAAUCUACACCCAGGAUCUUAGACUGUUGCCAGGGCCACAAAAAAAAAAAAAACAAACAAACAAACAAAACAAAACAAAAAACAAAAAACAAAAAACAAAAGCCACCAAAAAACAACAACAAGAAAAAAAAACCAAACACGCACAACAACCCAAAAAAACCUAAAAAACAAAACAAAACAAACAAAAAGACCCAGCAAUAAAAGGCAUGUGGAAUUUUGUUUACCUAAAUGUAGUAAAUUAACAGAGGGAUAACCAACAAUGACAACAAAAUUAUGCACACUGAUGAAAAUUGUGAUCCUCCCCAGCAGCUUUGUUGACACUUAAUAGUUAAGUCCAUUUGCUUUUAAGGGCAAAGUUCCCAGCCCCGGAGAGUCCCACAACAGGCCCGCGUGGCAGCUUGUGGACAAGUGUGGGGAGGACGCACGAGCCUAAGGAGUCUACUGAAGAGUCUUCUGAAGCUGUUUGUACCCUGACUUCUGCCCCCCCCCAACUCCCGUCCUGGGGCACCCGCGUAGCUCUGCUCCAAGCCCUGCUGCCUGUUCCCUCCAAGCUGCUUGCUGUUCAGAGUAGAAGCCAGGCGCAUACUGGUUUCUGUGACUUCAAGAGACAGAGGCUGCAAAUACUUUUUCAAAGCAGGAGCAAGAUGGGCUUGGAGUGGGGCUGGCACUCAGGAUGGUGUCCGUCCAGGGGCGACUUUCAUUGCCUCUUGUCCUUUUACAUCUUUGCCACCCAUCAGUCCCCCUUUACUUCCACUUACUAUCAACACACUGGUGGCACCGGGCUUGGAACGCGGAGGCAGACUUGUACGUAUGUAUACAUUUAUAUUCAUCCGAAGGGAUUUCAAUAUGAUACUAAAAAGAAUCAUUUCAUCAUAUUUUAUGUGCACACACAUAUAUGUGUAUGUGUAGGGUAUCCAUACAUACCCAUAUAUGCAUAUAGCAUAUCCGGGAAAGAGAAGACUUAAAACGGAGACUUGUUUUUGCAACAAACGGCUCUUUAUAUGGUAGCCUCAUCGCCAAUGGGAGGAGUUUGAAAUUAUUUCCUUAUUGUAACAACUGUGAGUUGUGCAUGGUUGUACGGGUCUAGCAGACUGUUAGAGCGGCGGUUAUGAGCUCUGGGCAUAUGGGUUCACGGGGCAGGGUUGUGAGGGGCAGGGAUGCGCUCAGAUGCGCUGACACUUGGAGAGACCCAGCCACGGAAGCCCACGAGCCAUUCUCUGCACGUUCCUUCCUCGCUCGAGCCUUUGAGGUUCACGUCCAGUCCCGCUAACCUGGACCCGCUGUCUCGUCUUCCGGACUGUUGGCCCCUCGCCCAGCCAGCUCUUUAUGGGUUUCCGUCAAAAGUCACUCUCCUCACACUGCCCCCCGGUUGUAGUCAUCCUUUGGUUAGAUGAGACAUCUUCCUAAUGUUCCCACCAAAGCUCUUUCCAACAUCUCUUACUUGUCUGUCGUUCUGGGACACUCCCUUCGUCGCUGGCAUCCCAGCAACAGCUGGCGGUCCACCCAGGCGUGUGGCAUGAAAGACAGAUGCUAGCGGGGACUUCACGAAGACGGGGGCUCCAGUGUCAAGAAUGAGCCCUCCUGAAGGAAGCGGUAGUUGUCGUGUGAUGGGCUCUGAGGCUCACCUCCCACGCCCCUCCUUUCGAAGGCGAGGCACCAGCCCCCCAACUGCUGUCCUGCUGAGGCUCCCACUCAUUGCUUCCCAGCCUCUUCCCUUCCCAGGGCGGCCAUCGUCUGUCACGAUGACGAGCAUUUACGACAGAGAAAGAAACAUCCUUCGUGGAUCGACAGAGAAAGAAGUGCAUCCCUCGUGGAUCUGGAGGGCAGGAGUCUGGGAUCCCACAUCAGCAGGGCCCUGCUCCCCCUGAAGGUGCUGGGGGAGAUGCCUCCAUGGCGUCAUCCAGCUUCUGGUGGCCCCGGAUGCUUCUUGGCUUGUGUAUAGCAUGAUGAAUUUUUAUAAACGUCUACAUUCGUGUAAUCACUACCCAGGUGAAGACACACUAGGGUAAACACACGUGGCUUAGAACCUUCAUCUGCCCCUCCAGUCAGCACCUCUAUGUCGGCAUCCCCGUGAUUCUGACCUCCAUGCCCUCCCCAUCUUUUACUCUGAUCCUUCAGGGCUAAUCACGCUACCAUUGAACUCCUGAAUGUACAUUAUCUAUUACAAUGAAGUAUGAUUUGAAAAAAAAAAAAACCUCUAUGAAAUAGUCAAGAAAAAGAGCAAAUAAGGCCCAUGUUCAAUUGCAGGUCUACUACUUGCUCAUGAAUUUGGGUAAGUAACUGAUCAUAGACCAAAAAGCUAAUAGAAGGUGAAAGCUAGACAACAAACUUACUGAAGGCGUUCAGAAGGAUUAUUUUCUAGAUCGGCUCUUCCUUGUAUAUAUAGGGCCUUGAAUGCCAAGGUGAGUUAGAAGGUGUUUAGUGGGUCAAUAAGAUUACGAUUGUGGUGCCUAACCAGCACUGUUCCAGGUGUAAUGUCACACAGCUUUCAGGGCUGAGUGCUGAUAUCCUCACUGUCUUAUAGGGGAAAAAGCAGAAACACAGAGUCAUUAAGUAAUUUGUCCAACAUGGCCAAGCUAGUACCCGAUGCAUCCUGGAUUUUAACCCAGAGCCUGUUCUCAUGGGCACGGCACUAUCUUUGUAUCUUUUCCAUUCCAUGUCAUUUCAAAAAUAGAUAAACAUAUAUGAUUGAAAAAAAAUAAAGAUAUUCAAUGAAGGUUGAAAUAUAAUUUUUUUAGCCUAAAUUGAUUUUGAUUUCCUCCUAUCAUUGUCAUCUAGAUUUGAAGAAACUAUUGUUUCGCUGAAUCAUGAAUGUACCUUUUAGCCUUCCUGAUCAAUGUCAAGCAGUUAAGAGUCCUAGAAAUAGAUGACAUAAGAUAGCACCUUGGGAUCAGGGCUGCAGUUAACUGUCAAGCAGGCCCACAGAACUCAGGGAAUCUUGGUGAAUUUUCUGGAUCCUCAAGAGACCAUCCCAGAAGCCUGGGAAACAGCUGAUGUGCAGGUGACCUUACAAGGGGUCCAGGCGGAGGCUCGUGAAAGAUGGUUUCCUUGGAUGAUGUCAAGAUGCCGUGCUAAGUCAACUCCAUCUGUUUCCAAUACGCAGUCUAAUCAUCGCUACCCACGUCCUUUUGACUUACGACCUUGCCUUUGCUUCCCGCUGAACUGGACCUCUCCCUCGACCUGGAUAUCUUACUGUCUCAACCUAAACACCAUGGCUAGUGAAUAGCCGUUAAUGUGUCUUCUCAAUUUGUAUGACCACAUACAAAAGUUUCACAAGUAUAGGCCUUGCCUCUGAAACGAUUUUCCUCAAAUGAAAUAUCUCUCGACACAAAUAAUUUCUGUGUGUUCAGGGUGAGGAUGAGGCCCCUGAUCCGUCCCCAAACAUCAGAGCAAAUCAGAAAUAGUAGGAAGCUAGGUCGGCGCAGUUUUCCGUCUAUACAUGAUACCCAUUUCAACUAAAGCUUCUAAAAUCGUGCAAGCCACUUACUGGGGAUCAAUUGCCCAACUUGCUGCUUGUUAAUUACUCCUGUGGCUCUGACUUACACAGUGAAAAUUCAGAUUUGAAGGAGAGUAUGCCACUCUGUCUAUCUCUCUCUCUCUCUCAAAAAUAAAUAAACAUUAAAAACAAAUUUUAAAAAGGAGGGCGCCUGCGUGGCUCAGUCAGUUAAAUGUCCAACUUCGGCUCGGGUCAUGAUGUCAAGAUUCAUGGGUUCAAGCCCCGUGUCAGGCGCUGUGCUGACAGCUCAGAGCCUGGAACCUGCUUCAGAUUCUGUGUCUCCCUCUCUUUCUGCCCCUCCCGGACUCUCUCUCUCUCUCUCUCUCUCUCUCUCUCUCUCAAAAAUAUGUAAACAUUUAAAAAAAAUUGAAGGAGAGCACACCAGAGCCGGAGGAAUAAACACGGAUUCUGGCGGGUUCUUUUAUUUUUAUUUUUUUCUAAUCAAUGGAAUAUUUAUUCUUCUCUGUACUCAUACACACCCACACAAAUACACACACAGUAUAUAUUUGGUAACUCCUAAAAUGAACACCUGAAUUGCUAGCGAACUUAAGGUGUCCCCCUCCCCCAAAUUCAGAUGCUGAAGUUCUCACCCCCAAAUGUGAUGGUGUUAGUACGUGGGAACUUUGAGAGAUGCUUAAGUCAUGAGGGCAGAGCCUCCUGAGAAUAUCAGUGCCUUGUCAGGACCCCACAGAGCUCCGCGUGCCCUUCCUUCCCACCAGGUGAGGACACAGUGAGAAGUCUGCGUGGGACCCAGGAGACAGCCCUCAUGCUCUGUACUGACCCUGGUCUGGACUUCAGAGCCCUUAUGCUCUGUGCGAGGUAAUUUCUGUCGUGUAUGAGCUACCCGGUCUGUGGUAUUUUGUUGUAGCCACCCUGAUUAGGACACGAAUCAUGCCUAGGAAGUGGCAAAGUACAGUAUUUGCACUAAAAGCAUCUGAUACAGAAUUCAGAGAGGAUCAAAAUCAAGGGGAACCUAGAAUUUGAGUUUGCCCUUGAAGAAUGAGUAGGAUCUGUGUGGACAGUAAAGGAAGCAGUCAGCUAUUUUAGUAUGAAGCCACACGAACACAGGUGGGAGUGUGGUUUUUGUUGGGAAGAAUGAGGCUAACUCAAAACAGAGAGCGAGAGAGAAAGCUUUGCUAGGGUGAUUUAUGUUGGACAAAGUUGGAUUUGUAAUUUGGGGCCAAAUUAUUUUUUUCAAACAAUUAAAAAUGUUAAAUAAUUAAACAAUCAUUUAAUUUUAUUUAAAUAACUUCUAUUUAAAUAUUUUACUUAAAUACUUUUUAUUUAAAUAUUUUAUUUAAAUAAAUUUUAAAAUUGUUAAAUAACUAAACAUUUAAAUAUUUAUUUUGAGACACACACACACACACACACACACACACACACAUACACGCACUGGGGGAGGGGCAGAGAGACAGAGAAUCCCAAGCAGGCUCCACACUGUCAGCACAGAGCCCCAUGUGGGGCUUGAAUCCAUGAAACUGUGAGAUCCUGACCUGAGCCCAAACUAAGAGUUGGAUGCUUAACCGACUGAGCCACCCAUGCAAAUUUGGGGGAAAAUUAUAAAAGAACUAGGUUUUUAAUGUCAGGCAAAUACCAAAACGCUGAAAUUCAGAAUGGAGGAAUGGCUUUAUGAAAGCCAUAGUUUGUGUGGCUCAGCUACGUGACAGAGACUAAAUUUAGGCAGAGAUCACCUUGACUACUAUUGAAAUAAAGGAGCAAAUCGGAGUGGCAUGAAACUAUGAAGAGAGAGAUCGAUCAUGGAAAUACUGUGGAAUAAUAAAUGUUAAGGAAGAGACCAAACAGAAGGAUGAAUGUGAUGGGCCCCAAGACAUUAGGUCUCCGGAUUGGGCAUGUUACUGACAAAAGGAAGAAAUAAGGGGCAGGAAGCUGGAUGGCUUGAGAGGUGGUGAAUUUAGGCUUGUACAUAUUCAUUCUGACAUCCACGUCGUCACAUGCUGUAUGUGUGUCCUCGGGGAUGGGAAAUAUUGGCAGCCAAGUUACAGAUGUCAUGACAGUUUGGAAAGGACAGCUGUCUGGGAGUGUGGGGUGGGCUCCAAAAUCCUGCCAGAAGGCAAAGAAAGGCCUCCCUGAAUUUAAUGAAAUUUCAUUAGUUCCUAAUUCUGUGCAAAUCACAGUAUGAAGACCACAGAUCCCUUCUCUUGAAUUGAUCACAAGGGGAAAUGAUGCCUGCUGUCAGAGUUGUGACAAUGUGGUGAGCGCUUUCACCGUGAGCCCUGGAGGAAGAAGCAGGAAGGGAAGCUGGGCAGCGGCUGGCUGAGUGUUGGCAAAGGAGGUGGCUAGAGGCAGAGGCUCGCAGGGGAGGCAGCCCACGAGCUCGGGUGGUAGUGGUUCUAGGACAUAUUUUACGAGGAGGGGAUAAUAGGGAUGCCUGGGUGGCUCCACUGGUUAAGCGUCCAACUCUUGGUUUCGGCUCAGGUCAUGAUCUCACGGUCCAUGAGAUGGAGCCCUGAAUCGAGCUCUGAGUUGGGGGUUCUCUCUCUCUCUCCCUGCCCUUCCCUACUCUCCCUCUCACUCAAAAUAAAUAAACAUUAAAAAAAAGAAGAAGGAGGGGAUGACAGAUGCAAAGACUAAAGCCAAGAAACAGCGUCUUGAUUUGUAUAAAUAAUUGCCAAAUCACCCGUAGCAUCCGACAAAUUAAUUCACAAAAACUAGUGGCUAGGUCAUGGGAAGGUGAGGCUGAAGAAUGACAAUGGUUUGUCUGCCGUACAAGGGACUGUAGAUUUCAGUUUGUAGGUGAUAAGGAGACAUGGAAAAUCUUGUAGCCCUGGGGGCGAUUUGAUCAUUUUUAGGUUCUAGAAUGACCAGUUUGGUGUUGCUGUAGAUGAUGAAGUGGAUGGGGCGUCACCACAAGACUGUGAGGAAUCCAAUGUGUAUAACUCCUGGAGAGAGAUGAGAAGAUUUAAACUAAAAAUGUUGAGGAAGGACAGGAGGGGUUGGACUUUAAGUAAAUGUAUGGUGUAGAAUGGAGAGAAUUGAUGUCUGCGAGGAUUCAAAGAGAAGACAUAAGUCAGCCCUUGGAUCGUCAGGUUGUGCUCAGUGGUAGGACAGGACAUAGAAAAGCAGC